UACGUAGGGGGCCAGCGUUGUCCGGACUUACUGGGCGUAAAGCGCGCGCAGGCGGACCUGUAUGUGCCGUGUGAAAGCGCCGGACUUACUUCGGCGAGGUCAUGGUAGACAGCAGGUCUGGAGCCUCGGAGAGGUCGGUGGAAUUCCUGGUGUAGCGGUGAAAUGCGCAGAUAUCAGGAGGAACACCGGUGGCGAAGGCGGGUCUCUGGGCCGAUACUGACGCUGAGGAGCGAAAGCGUGGGGAGCGAACAGG
rnacentral:rRNA from 1 species